rnacentral:rRNA from 1 species
UACGUAGGUGACCAGCGUUGUCCGGAUUUACUGGGCGUAAAGAGCGCGCAGGCGGUCGUUCAAGUCGAGUGUGAAAGCCCCCGGCUCAACUGGGGAGGGUCACUCGAUACUGAUCGACUUGAAGGCAGGAGAGGGAAGCGGAAUUCCCGGUGUAGUGGUGAAAUGCGUAGAUAUCGGGAGGAACACCAGUGGCGAAGGCGGCUUCCUGGCCUGUUCUUGACGCUGAGGCGCGAAGGCUAGGGGAGCAAACGGG